CUACGGGGCGCUCCAGUGGGGAAUAUUGCACAGUGGGCGCAAGCCUGAUGCAGCCAUGCCGCGUGUAUGAAGAAGGCCUUCGGGUUGUAAAGUACUUUCAGCGGGGAGGAAGGGAGUAAAGUUAAUACCUUUGCUCAUUGACGUUACCCGCAGAAGAAGCACCGGCUAACUCCGUGCCAGCAGCCGCGGUAAUACGGAGGGUGCAAGCGUUAAUCGGAAUUACUGGGCGUAAAGCGCACGCAGGCGGUUUGUUAAGUCAGAUGUGAAAUCCCCGGGCUCAACCUGGGAACUGCAUCUGAUACGGGCAAGCUUGAGUCUCGUAGAGGGGGGUAGAAUUCCAGGUGUAGCGGUGAAAUGCGUAGAGAUCUGGAGGAAUACCGGUGGCGAAGGCGGCCCCCUGGACGAAGACUGACGCUCAGGUGCGAAAGCGUGGGGAGCAAACAGGAUUAGAUACCCGCGUAGUC
rnacentral:rRNA from 1 species